GAUGAACGCUGGCGGCGUGCUUAACACAUGCAAGUCGAACGGACAGGCCCUGCUUUUGUGGGGUUCUCGAGUGGCGAACGGGUGAGUAACACGUGAGUAACCUGCCCUUGACUUUGGGAUAACUUCAGGAAACUGGGGCUAUUACAGGAUAGGAGCUCCUGCUGCAUGGUGGGGGUUGGAAAGUUUCGGCGGUUGGGGAUGGACUCGCGGCUUAUCAGCUUGUUGGUGGGGUAGUGGCUUACGAAGGCUUUGACGGGUAGCCGGCCUGAGAGGUGGACCGGCCACAUUGGUACUGAGAUACGGACCAGACUCCUACGGGAGGCAGCAGUGGGGAAUAUUGCACAAUGGGCGGAAGCCUGAUGCAGCAGCGCCGCGAGCGGAAUAACGUCCUACGGGUUGUGAACCACUUUCGCCUGUGACGAAGCGUGAGUGACGGUAAUGGGUAAAGAAGCACCGGCUAACUACGUG
rnacentral:rRNA from 1 species